UCAUCAGGUGGGAUAAUCCUUACCUGUUCCUCCUUUUGGAGAGAAGAUAGAACAUGAUGAUUGGAGUUUGCCUAAUAUGUGAUUAACAUCUCUGCAUAAUCAGGACUUACAACACUGGUUACUUCUGAU
rnacentral:snoRNA from 1 species